GGAUGUGAAGGCAAUCUGGCUGCAACAUCUGCCACCCCAUUGAUCUCCAGGAUUAAUUUGGCUGAUCUGGCUGACUAGGCAGGUAUCUCCUUCUUCCCUUAUCUCUCCAGGUGCAUCACUUCCUAACCUGGUCACUUGAUCAAAGAAUGUGACAUUUCCAGCUAGAGGAGGACUUUUCUUUGAUUAAAAGUAUAUGAGUAGCCAGGGGCUGGCAGGUG
ensembl:misc_RNA 7SK 7SK RNA